AGAUUUAAGGGCUAUCUGUCGGUGACAUUAAUCACCCCAUUGAUCACUAGUGUUGACUCAGCUGAUCUUGCUGGCUACAAGGGUGCCCCCUUCCCCUCUUAUUGUGUCCCUUCUAAAGCUACACUCAGUUGAAGAUGAUCUUCCCUGAUAGAGGAUUGUUCUCUGAUAAAGGGUAUGCAAGUGGUUGUACUCCCCUACUGCAACCUCCAAACAAACUCUCAAGACAGCAAAAUCCAUCAUAAAGUUGGUAUACACACACUUUUGACAGCCAUGCUCCAU
rnacentral:snRNA from 1 species